GAUGAACGCUGGCGGCGUGCCUAAUACAUGCAAGUCGAGCGAAGCGAGGACGGGUGAUUAACACGUGGAUAACCUCCUAUAAGACUGGGAUAACUUCGGGAAACCGGAGCUAAAUCGGACACUUAUUGAUGGUUCUGCGCUGCAUUAGCUAGUUGGUAAGGUAACGGCUUACCAAGGCAACGAUGCAUAGCCGACCUGAGAGGAGGAUCGGCCACACUGGAACUGAGUCACGGUCCAGACUCCUACGGGAGGCAGCAGUAGGGAAUAUUCGGCAAUGGGCGAAAGCCUGACGGAGCCAUGCCGCGUGAGUGAUGAAGGUCUUCGGAUCGUAAAACUCUGUUAUUAGGGAAGCGGUACCUAAUCAAAAAGCCCCGGCUAACUACGUGCCAGCAGCCGCGGUAAUUC
rnacentral:rRNA from 1 species